UUGCCUAGUUAAAUAAAGGUUCAUAUAUUUUUUAAAUGUAACUUCAUUACACUGUUACACUAGCAUACAAACUCGGUAGCACAGAGUUGAUCAUCCAUAUGACCUUGGGAAAUAGGGCAUUGUGGGUAGUUUAGAAGAUUUCCCGAAAUAAGUUAAUAAAUAUGUAAUAACGCAAAAAUAUAUGUGUGUAAUUAUAGGUAACCAUAAAGUGACUACAACUAGCUUAUUAAGUCUUUUACCACACGGUAUUAUUACUCUGGUGAGUAAAAACUCAUGCUUCCUACACUUUAACUUUUUGUCUGAAGAUAAAAUAUACGUUUUACUCAACUGCAUUACCCACUCCAGUCAGCAGAUGGCGAUGUGGGACAUUAAAGCCAAUGCUGCUAGUGUGACUUAUCAUCUAGAGGACGGAACGCUUCUUUCAACAGCAGCAACAGUUAAUCAGCCACCUCCGUAGCUUGCUAGACAAAAUAGACGAACCAAUAUAGCUCUUUACAUGCUUUAUUGUUUAUUAGCCACUGUGUUUUAAACACACUUCUGUCAUCUAGUUAGUUAUCCGAUUUAAUUUCAUAUUUAAGGUGUUGUUGUUAUUAGUCAGCUAGCGGGCUGGUUAAGUUAGCAUUGGCCUAGCUAGCUAACAUCUCCAACCAUGAGUUCACUAAGCUACUCUCCUCCUGCUAAAGAAGAGGGGGGCUGCUGGACGGAGAAAGAAGCUCUCGUCAAAAUACAAAAACAAGUUGGUGAGGCUGUUACAGUGAAAGAAGAAGAGAAAGAAUUUUCAAUGAAAGAAAAGGAAGACGUGUUCAGAGUGAAAGAGGAGGAGGAUGCAGUUUUUGGAGUGAAAGAGGAAGAGGGGAAGAUGACUGUCACAUUGGAAGAAGAGGAGGAAAUUUGAUUUCUGGGCCCAGUUUCCCAAACGCAUCUUAAGGCAUCCAAUGGUGCCUUAGCCGUAAGAUGGUUUUGAGAAACCGGGCCCUGAUUAAUACUAGUAAGUACUGUCUUAAAUACCAAGGCACAAAACCUGCAGUUGUUGAACUGAUGUGUGGUGUUAAAGGGGAAAUAUGCAAUGGCUACAUCCGUUUUUGGACUUUUAACCCUUUCAUGCGCGAGUUCCAAAUAUCUCUUAACGGUCGCUCCAGCGUGAGUUUUUUUAUGCACGUGAUGUUAGAAUGUUCUCUCCAUUCCAGAAUGUGAUUGAUACGUAACAGUACAUUUUAUCCGCGCUGCCCUCAAACUAAAGCACGCAGCUUGUUUAUAUUUAUAGGCUGUUUCAACUUCAAUUUCAAAUGAUUUUCUAACAAGUUUUUAAUUUUCUAAAAACAGUAAGAAUUUAGGUGUGUUCCGCCUCCUCAUUCAUUCACAUAAAAAUAGUCCUUUUGCGGACAAUUACAUUUUUGGGACAUUUCUGACACGGACAAAAUUCCCCAAGCACUUCCCAAUUGUUUGUGUUCACGUCUGCAGACAUUUGCUCAUUUCCCGUCAGAACAGGAUCUGCACACGUGUUCACAUUUUUCCAUUUUCCAUUCCACAUUUCUAUUGUAUGUAUGGAGCAUAAUAUAUUUGUGUAUAUUCUUUAUAACCGUGGACACGUGAGGUACCGUUACUCAUUUUAUAACCUUUAUGGUGUUCUAGUCAAUUGUGCUUAUGUAGCCACAUUCUUCUAUUAGCUCUGUAAAACAAUGCUAAAUGCGUCAGAGAAGUAUUAUCUUGGGUUGUAUUUUGAAGCUACAUGGCCUUAUGACUCCCAAGUGGUGCAGAGGUCAAAGGCACAGCACAUCAGUGCUAGAGGCGUCACUACAGACUCCCUGUUCAAAUCCAGGCUGUGUUUCUAUCAAAGUAAGUGCCUUAUUACGUUAUUAUAGUUUCCGUGUAACGUUUCUGCUGUAGCUCACUAUGUAUGGAUCAUAAUAUAUUCCUUAUAACCGCGGACACGUGAGGUAACGUUACACAUUUUAUAACCUUUAUGGUGUUAUAGUCAAUCGUGCUUACGUAGCUACUAUUAGCUUGUGUUGUAUUUUGAAGCUACCCUGGCCUUAUGACUCCCAAGUGGCGCAGCGGUCUAUGGCACUGCAUCUCGGUGCUAGAGGCGUCACUACAAACACCCUGGUUCAAAUUCAGGCUGUUUCACAACUGGCUGUGAUUGGGAGUCCCAUAGUGCAGCGCACAAUUGGCCCAGCGUAGUCUGAGUUUUGCCGGUGUAGGCCAUCAUUGUAAGUAAUAAUUUGUUCUUAAAUGACUUGCCUAGUUAAAUAACAAAAAAAUGUGACCAUGGUUUGUUUAUUUGGUCUAUUCAGCAUAGCUCUGUUCUGCCCUGCCUUGCCCCCUUGCGGAGCUCAAAAGUUAGUUUCUUACUGUUAUAACUCAAAUCUGUAAUUUUGUCAAUGCAAUAAACAAUUUUUUAUAGCAGUGUUUAUUAUGUUACUUCUUUGUAGUAUUGUUUUAUUGCUAUAUCCUUAUAUUGUAUUCUAAUGAAUAAUUCCUCUUUAUUCUGUACUUUCAGAAACCACAAACAUUAUUUGCCAAUAUCAUAACUGGAGCUGGACAUCUUUGGAGCUGAAGAAUGAGGACAGCUUUUGUAUGCUAACGUACACUCCUUAACAGUUUUACUGGAUGAAAACACAGCAAGAAAACACAUAUGCCAAUAUGUAAUAGUCAUCUAUUUUAUUGCAGUGUUGGUAGUUGGUAGUAGAGGACAAAAAACUGAAUAUGCAAAACCCAUAUUCAUUAUCCAUGCAGUGACUGAACAACAACUGCAUUUCCACCCCCACCUCUAAAGGCAUAGUAUCAUGGCAGGUCACCUGUCAAGUCACCUGUCAGGCAGACUUUGCAGUGCCUCCGUGUGCGACUACCUUGAGAAGCAGUUUGAGGGACUUUGCAGGGAAAAUGCCGUGCAGUGAGGCGUAGGGGAUUGUCUACAGCAGGACGGCCCCCAGUGGAUGGGCGCCGAGGGGUGUGGUGCUCCUCCAGCAGCUCUCUCAUGAGGUUCUCUCUGUAUUUUUGCUCCAAGGCAUAGCGAUUGGUCUCCUACUAUGUUUCCCACCAGCUCCUCUGUCAGAAACAACUUGAAGAACUCUGCCUCAGAGGGAAAUGGCAAGGGGCGUUGCACUCCAGACUGGGACUCGUCAAAGCAAACAGCAGGGCCAGGAGGGGUGAAAUGACUGGUGAUCUUCCAGCUACCACAGAACUCCUGUACUUCAUCCACUGUCGGUCUGCCUCCAUCACCACCAGCAUCUUCAAAGUGACCUGGGACUUUGUCAGUGGACAAGGGAAAUUCAGAUUCAGGGUUCUCAAUGGCUACAAGGUUUAGGGGGCGGCUCCUCACUGUCAGAAUCUGAUUCCUGACUUUCAUACUCAGACUCAUUGUCAGAAUUUUUUUUACAUCUCCAGAAUUUCCACAUUUCUGAGUUGUCUCCUUUUGAAAGGCAUUGAUAAUGCUACAGCUUAGCUCAUUAGCUACAUGCAUAAACAACAACACUGAAUGGAGCAGAGUGGGAGGUUAUGUGGUUGACUGCCGGCACGCGCCACUUGUAUCAAUAAAUCACUCAGAAAAUGUUUUGUGUGGCAAUUAUUUGUGUAUUUACGGUUUUAUUCACGUUUUCAAUUCUAGGUGACAAAUCAUGCAUUCCGAUUCUUGCACAGAUUGUAAUGGGCACAUAUUAUGUGUGUAAAAUACAUUUUUGAAGGCUGUACUGAUUAUGAUGAGCUAAGCUAAUUCCAGCUGUGUAGCCAUGUCUGUUGACAUACAAUAAUGCAUUCUGGGUUUCACGUCUGUUUGACCAAAGAUGUUAUAACAAAAUGAGGUGAGUAAGAGUUCGCAAAUUGUUUGAGGACUUCCGGAAAUUAAUGGUGGGAUGUGAACGACGGUAGAUGACACACCCCUUCAACAUGCAUACUAUAAACAGACCAAACUCAUCUCGUCUUUUAUUAUCUUCGUUGUCUGUGAGGAAAAAUGCAUGGCUGCGCUGAAACUAAUUUUCGGAUUACUUUCGAUUUCUAUAAAGUGUUUUACCUAGUUAUUUCGAUCAAUGGUGAGCUCACCCGUGAUGUGAUUAAUUAUACAUAGUAAUUGCUAUUAGCUAAUUCAUAUUGUAGUUUAUGUCAGCCGAGAGUUAGAAAAUAUGACUGCUUGUGUUGGGUCAAUCUUUCCUCAGCGCUAGGACAAAUGUAGCCUACAUUUUUCCGGUUAGGAUGAUUGUGUUAUGCUAUAUAUACACUUCUGUGAAUACCUGAACAUUGCAUCCAAAAAUAAACUGCUGACAUUGUGG